UGCGCAGGCGGGCUUGUAAGUCAGUGGUGAAAUACUGCCGCUUAACGGUAGAACUGCCAUUGAUACUGCGAGUCUUGAAUAUGGUUGAGGUAGGCGGAAUGUGUUGUGUAGCGGCGAAAUGCAUAGAUAUGACACAGAACGCCAAUUGCGAAGGCAGCUUACUAAGCCAUUAUUGACGCUGAGGCACGAAAGCGUGGGGAGCGAACAGGAUUAGAUACCCUGGUAGUCC
rnacentral:rRNA from 1 species